GGAAUGAGGCAGAAUAAGAUACACAGAAUGAGGCAGAAUAAGAUACACGGAAUGAGGCAGAAUAAGAUACACGGAAUGAGGCAGAAUAAGAUACACGGAAUGAGGCAGAAUAAGAUACACGGAAUGAGGCAGAAUGAGGCAGAAUAAGAUACACGGAAUGAGGCAGAAUAAGAUACACGGAAUGAGGCAGAAUAAGAUACACUGAAUGAGGCAGAAUUAGGCAGAAUAAGAUACACGGAAUGAGGCAGAAUAAGA